GCCAGACGCGGUGGCGCGUCUGUAGUCCCAGCUACUUGGGAGGCUGAGGCUGGAGGAUCUCUUGAGUCCAGGAGUUUUAGACUGUAGUGCGCUAUGCAGAUCGGGUGUCUGCACUAAGUUCAGUAUCAAUACGGUGACCUCCCGGGAGCGGGGGACCACCAGGUUGCCUAAGGAGGGGUGAACCGGCCGAGGUUGGAAACGGAGCAGGUCAAAACUCCUGUGCUGAUCAGUAGUGGGAUUGCGUCUGUGAAUAGCCACUGCACUCCAGCCUGGGCAACAUAGCAAGACCGUGUCUCU
rnacentral:SRP_RNA from 1 species